GAUGAACGCUGGCGGCGUGCUUAACACAUGCAAGUCGAACGGGAAUUAUUUUAUUGAAACUUCGGUCGAUUUAAUUUAAUUCUAGUGGCGGACGGGUGAGUAACGCGUGGGUAACCUGCCUUAUACAGGGGGAUAACAGUCAGAAAUGGCUGCUAAUACCGCAUAAGCGCACAGAGCUGCAUGGCUCAGUGUGAAAAACUCCGGUGGUAUAAGAUGGACCCGCGUUGGAUUAGCUGGUUGGUGGGGUAACGGCCCACCAAGGCGACGAUCCAUAGCCGGCCUGAGAGGGUGAACGGCCACAUUGGGACUGAGACACGGCCCAGACUCCUACGGGAGGCAGCAGUGGGGAAUAUUGCACAAUGGGGGAAACCCUGAUGCAGCGACGCCGCGUGAGGGAAGAAGUAUCUCGGUAUGUAAACUUCUAUCAGCAGGGAAGAUAGUGACGGUACCUGACUAAGAAGCCCCGGCUAACUACGUG
rnacentral:rRNA from 1 species